CCCAGAGCCCAGGAGUCCAGACAGCCUGGGAGACGAGCAGGAGUUGGAGCCCAAGUUGGAGAGAGAGAGGAGAAGCCUUCCGCAGCCCAGUGUGUCCUUGACCCUGUUCAGGUCAGUUUCUCAGCUUGGGAGAGAGAAAAAUCACGAUAAAACUUGCCGGAGUUGUGAAGGUCACGGAGUUGUGAAGGUCACGUGAACAAAGCUGUGGCAACAUUUUCUGAGAGGUAAGGACAAACAGGAGUGCCGUCAGAAGUCUGCCUUCAGUUCUCACUGAGCCCCUCUGAGAAUGGAGCGAUCCACCCGGGAGCUGUGUCUCAACUUCACCGUUGUCCUGAUCACGGUUAUCCUCAUUUGGCUCCUUGUGAGGUCCUAUCAGUACUGAGAUGCCACAGCUCCUGGAAUUGACUGCAACGCUCCAGAGCUGUCUUCUGUGUGCCCUGAGCUCCCACUCCUGUCAUGGGAUGCCUUUUUUCGGCACCUCACGGCACUUCUGACCUGCACGCACAGCAUCUGAGGUGCCGCCAGUGUCAGGAUCGAUCCUGUGACCUCUAAAGAUGCUGCUCUCAAGGGCUGCCAAGUGUUUGCCAGGAAGUGUUAGAUUUAUCCCCCAACUCUUACUGCAAAUGUGUUAGACAAGCCACAAGGGUAAAAGUAAACUGGAUUCACUAUGCCAUAGAAUUUUAACAAGCCCCUGAUCUGUCUCACCACACAUACCUUCAACCCACACUCAGCAACCAAACUGUAAAUCAACCUACCAGAAGAGAGAAAUGUUAAAGGAAGUCUUUGUCAGCCCCUCUAGCUAUCAUGUGAAUAAAGUUAAGUCAACCACAAAAAA